GUGCACCAGUCGAGAAACCUUCGCAAUGCAGGAAACUGCGACGAGGGAACUCCAAGUGCCUACGCUCAGCGUAGGCUGUUCUCAAGCCUAGAAAGCUUGAGGAGUAAGGGGCUGGGUAAGACGGGUGCCAUCUGUGGUAGCAGUCAAUAGAUUCGAUUUGUUACUGCAAGGCAUAAGCCGCCGCGGUAAUACCCGCAGCCCAAGUGGUGGCCGCUUUUAUUGGGGCCUAAAGCGUCCGUAGCCGGCCCGGUAAAUGCCUGGGGUAAAUCGUGGAGCCCAACUUCACGAAUUCCGGGUAGACUGCCGAGCUCGGGACCGGAAGAGGGAGAGGGGUACGUUCGAGGGGUAGGGGGUGAAAAGUUUCCUUUCCAUUAACGCUUUGCGCGAAGCGG
rnacentral:rRNA from 1 species